rnacentral:rRNA from 1 species
UACGGGGGGUGCGAGCGUUGUCCGGAAUCACUGGGCGUAAAGGGCGCGUAGGUGGCCUGAUAAGGGUGUGGUGAAAGUCCGGGGCUCAACCCCGGAUCUGCCGUGCCGACUGUUAGGCUAGAGUACUGUAGGGGCAGGCGGAAUUCCGGGUGUAGCGGUGGAAUGCGUAGAGAUCCGGAAGAACACCGGUGGCGAAGGCGGUCUGCUGGGCCAAGACUGACGCUGAGGCACGAAAGCGUGGGGAGCAAACAGG